AACAACUGAGAAGUACACUCUGCAGCUCAAGGCAUUGCUUCCUAUGAAACAUACAGAACUGACAUGGAGCGUUUAAAGAAAUCUUCCAUAACACGAAAGUCAAACUACAUGAAAUCACAGAUGGAAUGGAAUCGUUUCAGAAAACUGGGCAUAAAAACCGGCCUCCUUUCUCA